GCUGGCUGCAUCGACCUAUCCUUUACUGCCCCCAAGGCCACGCAUACCUAAUUCAAGGAUAUCAGAUAAUGGAUGGAGGGAUUUGCAAGUUGAUGGCAGAUGGAAGGCAUUAUUGAGGCAGAAAUGGAUGAAAAUCAAACCUGCUCUUGAUAUACACAGCUGAUCUGGGCACUGAGUGAAGUCUUAUUUCCUGUCUAUGAAAGCAGACACUUGAACCAAUCACUCCUUUCUUCAUACAAUGUGUGUGCACAGAAUCAAAUUUGCUGAAAUCUGGAAUUUGGGACUUAAGUUCUGAUUCUUUUUUAAUGUAAAUGGAAUGAAGGCAUUUGAAGAUUGAUGCAAGAAUAUACAUGUAGGAAUAAUUGCCUAAGUGGCCACAUUUGAUUUAACAUAGACAAAACCUUCUGCUUUGUAUUAUAUUAAAACAUUUACCACACAUUGCCUCAAGGAUUAAAAAUAAUAUAACUCCUGCC
rnacentral:lncRNA from 1 species